GGAGAGGAGCUUGAAAAUCAUGUGGGAUUUCAACAAGCAGCAGCAGCAUUCCUCCAUCUCUGAGUAUCAAGCAGAAUUUCACUUGAUUUUUGUCUCAUCACUGCUUCCAGUAGACCGUAUCUUGAUUAGCUUCUCUUUGGCUCGGAAGAGGACGGCAUGAAAUUCAUCAAAAUAAGGUAGGAUCUCUGCACUCAAGAGAAAUAGGUUCAUAAACAAAUAAACGAGAUGCAGAAGACAUCUAUCUUCACCUCAAGUUGCAUAAUUUCACAGACUAAAAUCAGGUCUGCUAUGGAUGGUUGAGAUCUUCCCAGCAGAAAGUGUCCAUCACCCUUGAGCCAGAAGGAUUCGACCAUUGGAAGAGAAGCUAGGAGGACUUUUCUAGCUUCAGCUGCUGCUUCUAAAUUCGGAGGCAGGCCAGCGAGUAAAGGUCCAACGGUACUGUUGAAGACUAAUCCAGCUGUAAACAUAAGCAUUGUUCAGAGUACCAUCCUAUAAAUACAGAUAUGAUAAUCUCAACAAAUUUAACUUGUCAUCAGGGAUUAUUCAAAGAUGGCUUCUUCCUGUUUCUUCACUUUUUGUCAUUUGUGUGGUCUGAUGGACAUAUUUGUUAAGGGACGAAUGCAAUUAAUUUCUUGUAUCAA